AGUAGAAUUGCUGAUCAUAUGGUAAUUUUGUUUAACUUUUUGAGGAACUUUCAAACUCUUUCCCACGGUAGCUGACCAUUUUAUGAUCUCACUAGCAAU
rnacentral:pre_miRNA from 1 species